AUUCAAGUAAAUUUGGUAUAUGAAAUGUCAUACAUAAUAUAAAUUACAUAUCAAAACAACAACAAGAUAAAAUGAUAAAUAAACAUCCAUACACACAAACACACACAAAAUUUUUAUUUAUUUAUUUACACAGAUCCAUAACGUCUUUAAUUUCCUUUGGAAGGAGUUGGUGCAGAGGCCUGAGCGGUAUUGUUAAGAAGUUCAAGUAAUGGAGUUCGUUUUGAUGUAUUUCGGUGAGGUACACCUUCAAAAACCAAAUCCAAUAUAUUUUCAAGAAAUAAAACAUUUUAGAAAAAUCAUGAAUCCAUUGUAUGUAUUUUAAUUUCUAUUUAUAGAAAAAAUAAAUUUUCGAAAUAAUAAUUAUUUACCUUGACGAACAUAGGGUUUACAUAUUUUAAUAUUUUCGGGGUUACUUUGGAAUCCACAAUAUCUUUUUGCCUCCAUGAUGUCGUGGCUAUCCAAGCCCCAUUUAACCAGGAUCUUGCAAAAACAUGAAUAACGAUUUAUGUAUAUGAAGGACAAUAUCCCGCAGCACGAUUCUGGGCUUCCACUAGAGCACCUGACAUUGGCUUUAGACUCUAAAGAACCGCAAUCGUCUGACGAUCCAUGCCUACUCAUCAUCAACAACAUCACCAUCACCAUUGCAAGCUCAAACCUAAUUUUCGCCAUCUUUGAAAUUUUCUUUGAAGAAAUGCUCCCUAUUUUGGAUUGAAUUGAUUGGUAUAUAUCCUUGAUCGUCAGUUUACAUGUAUAUAUAGAUCUUAUUAAUGCAUACGACAUUUGGACGUGCGUGUGUGUUUGUAUUGAAAUCAAGGCAUGGUUCUAUAAUCAUGUUAUUAACUAAUUAAGUAUAGUUUAAUCGUGGUAUGAGAUUAUGAGUUCAAAACUUUG
rnacentral:lncRNA from 1 species